rnacentral:rRNA from 1 species
CCUACGGGAGGCAGCAGUGGGGAAUAUUGCACAAUGGGCGAAAGCCUGAUGCAGCGACGCCGCGUGAGGGACGAAGGCCUUCGGGUUGUAAACCUCUUUCAGCAGGGAAGAAGCGAAAGUGACGGUACCUGCAGAAGAAGCGCCGGCUAACUACGUGCCGGCAGCCGCGGUAAUACGUAGGGCGCAAGCGUUAUCCGGAAUUAUUGGGCGUAAAGAGCUCGUAGGCGGUUUGUCGCGUCUGCUGUGAAAGCCCGGGGCUCAACCCCGGGUCUGCAGUGGGUACGGGCAGACUAGAGUGCAGUAGGGGAGACUGGAAUUCCUGGUGUAGCGGUGAAAUGCGCAGAUAUCAGGAGGAACACCGAUGGCGAAGGCAGGUCUCUGGGCUGUAACUGACGCUGAGGAGCGAAAGCAUGGGGAGCGAACAGGAUUAGAUACCCUGGUAGUCCAUGCCGUAAACGUUGGGCACUAGGUGUGGGGGACGAUUCCACGUUUUCCGCGCCGUAGCUAACGCAUUAAGUGCCCCGCCUGGGGAGUACGGCCGCAAGGCUAAAACUCAAAUGAAUUGACGG